GACGAACGCUGGCGGCGUGCUUAACACAUGCAAGUCGAACGGAAAGGCCCUGCUUUUGUGUGGUGCUCGAGUGGCGAACGGGUGAGUAACACGUGAGUAACCUGCCCUUGACUUUGGGAUAACCUCAGGAAACUGGGGCUAAUACCGGAUAGGAGCUCCUGCUGCAUGGUGGGGGUCGGAAAGUUUCGGCGGUUGGGGAUGGACUCGCGGCUUAUCAGCUUGUUGGUGGGGUAGUGGCUUACCAAGGCUUUGACGGGUAGCCGGCCUGAGAGGGUGACCGGCCACACUGGGACUGAGACACGGCCCAGACUCCUACGGGAGGCAGCAGUGGGGAAUAUUGCACAAUGGGCGGAAGCCUGAUGCAGCGACGCCGCGUGCGGGAUGACGGCCUUCGGGUUGUAAACCGCUUUCAGCUGUGACGAAGCGUGAGUGACGGUAAUGGGAGAAGAAGCACCGGCUAACUACGUG
rnacentral:rRNA from 1 species